rnacentral:misc_RNA from 1 species
GAUGAAGAACGCAGCGAAAUGCGAUAAUUAAUGUGAAUUGCAGAAUUUAGUGAAUCAUCGAAUCUUUGAACGCACAUUGCGCCCCUUGGUAUCCCGAGGGGCAUGCCUGUUCGAGCGUCAUUUCACCACUCAAGCCUGGCUUGGUGUUGGGCGACGUCCUCUUUGGGGACGCGCCUCGAAACGCUCGGCGGCGUGGCACCGGCUUUAAGCGUAGCAGAAUCUUUCGCUUUGGAAGUCGGGGCCCCGUCUGCCGGAAGACCUGCUCGCAAGGUUGACCUCGGAUCAGGCAGGGAUACCCGCUGAACUUAAGCAUAUCAAUAAGCGGAGGA